ACGGGUGCGGAACACGUGUGCACUAGCUUUAUCUGGGGGAUAGCCUUUCGAAAGGAAGAUUAAUACCCCAUAAUAUGUUGAAUGGCAUCAUUCGACAUUGAAAACUCCGGUGGAUAGAGAUGGGCACGCGCAAGAUUAGAUAGUUGGUGAGGUAACGGCUCACCAAGUCUACGAUCUUUAGGGGGCCUGAGAGGGUGAUCCCCCAACUGGUACUGAGACACGGCCAGACUCCUACGGGAGGCAGCAGUGGGGAAUCUUGCGCAAUGGCCGAAAGGCUGACGCAGCGACGCCGCGUGUGGGAUGAAGGUCUUCGGAUUGUAAACCACUGUCGGGGGGGACGAAAUCUUGACGGUACCCCCAAAGGAAGCACCGGCUAACUCUGUGCCAGCAGCCGCGGUAAUACAGAGGGUGCGAGCGUUGUCCGGAAUCACUGGGCGUCAAAGGGCCGCGUAGGCCGGCCUGGUAAGUCGGGGGUGAACGCUGCGGGUUCNAACCGGAAGGCACUGGCCUUCCGAGACUGGCCAGGCUUGGAGCCACGGGGAACAAGGCUGGGUAGGAAUUCCCCGGGGGUAAACGGGUGGAACCGCGUCAAAAGCAUCG
rnacentral:rRNA from 1 species